rnacentral:rRNA from 1 species
GACGAACGCUGGCGGCGUGCCUAAUACAUGCAAGUAGAACGCUGAAGGAGGAGCUUGCUUCUCUGGAUGAGUUGCGAACGGGUGAGUAACGCGUAGGUAACCUGCCUGGUAGCGGGGGAUAACUAUUGGAAACGAUAGCUAAUACCGCAUAAGAGUAGAUGUUGCAUGACAUUUGCUUAAAAGGUGCAAUUGCAUCACUACCAGAUGGACCUGCGUUGUAUUAGCUAGUUGGUGAGGUAACGGCUCACCAAGGCGACGAUACAUAGCCGACCUGAGAGGGUGAUCGGCCACACUGGGACUGAGACACGGCCCAGACUCCUACGGGAGGCAGCAGUAGGGAAUCUUCGGCAAUGGACGGAAGUCUGACCGAGCAACGCCGCGUGAGUGAAGAAGGGUUUCGGAUCGUAAAGCUCUGUUGUAAGAGAAGAACGAGUGUGAGGGUGGAAAGUUCACACUGUGACGGUAUCUUACCAGAAAGGGACGGCUAACUACGUG